rnacentral:rRNA from 1 species
AACGAACGCUGGCGGCAGGCUUAACACAUGCAAGUCGAGCGCCCCGCAAGGGGAGCGGCAGACGGGUGAGUAACGCGUGGGAAUCUACCCAGCUCUACGGAAUAACUCAGGGAAACUUGUGCUAAUACCGUAUACGUCCUCCGGGAGAAAGAUUUAUCGGAGCUGGAUGAGCCCGCGUUGGAUUAGCUAGUUGGUGGGGUAAUGGCCCACCAAGGCGACGAUCCAUAGCUGGUCUGAGAGGAUGAUCAGCCACAUUGGGACUGAGACACGGCCCAAACUCCUACGGGAGGCAGCAGUGGGGAAUAUUGGACAAUGGGCGAAAGCCUGAUCCAGCCAUGCCGCGUGAGUGAUGAAGGCCCUAGGGUUGUAAAGCUCUUUCACCGGUGAAGAUAAUGACGGUAACCGGAGAAGAAGCCCCGGCUAACUUCGUGCCAGCCGCCGCGGUAAGAC